UUUCGCAAUGCCCGAAAGGGUGACGAAGCGACGCCGCGUGUGGGAAGAAGGCCUUCGGGUUGUAAACCACUGUCGGGAGUUAAGAAAUGCAAGGAUAUGAAUAGUGUCUUUGCUUGACUAAGGCUCCGGAGGAAGCCACGGCUAACUCUGUGCCAGCAGCCGCGGUAAUACAGAGGCGGCAAGCGUUGUUCGGAAUUAUUGGGCGUAAAGAGCACGUAGGCGGCUAUGUAAGUCGGUUGUGAAAGCCUUCCGCUCAACGGGAGAACAGCAUCCGAUACUGCAUGGCUUGAGUGCGGGAGGGGAGAGUGGAACUUCUGGUGGAGCGGUGAAAUGCGUAGAUAUCAGAAGGAACACCGGCGGCGAAAGCGGCUCUCUGGUCCGUAACUGACGCUGAGGUGCGAAAGCCAGGGGAGCAAACGGGAUUAGAUACCCCGGUAGUCCUGGCCGUAAACGAUGGGCACUAAGUAGAGGGGUUUU
rnacentral:rRNA from 1 species